UUGUGCUUAUGACACUUCGGCUGGGACUUGACGGAGCCGACCUUGCAUUCAGGUUUGAUGUGUCGGAGAGCACGGUGUCCCGCCUAUGGGUAACCUGGCUUGACUUCCUACACAACAAGCUACGCCAGGUGCCCACAUGGAUGCCACCAGAUCUGUGUGACAAGUAUCGCCCACAAGCCUUCCUUUCCAAGGGAUUCAACACCGUGGACGGUAUCCUCGACUGCACAGAGAUC